rnacentral:misc_RNA from 1 species
GAACGCACCUUGCGCUCCUUGGUAUUCCGAGGAGCAUGCCUGUUUGAGUGUCAUUAAAUUCUCAACCUCACCAACUUUGUUGUGUGAAGGCUUGGAUGUGGGGGUUGCAGGUCCGCACUCGUGUGGUCUGCUCCUCUAAAACGUAUUAGUGGGUUAGUCCCCUAAUCUAUUGGUGUGAUAAUUAUCUACGCCGUGGAUUUGGAAGGCUAUCAUAGACCUGCUUCUAACCGUCCUCUGGACAACCUUGACAAUUUUGACCUCAAAUCAGGUAAGACUACCCGCUGAACUUAAG